rnacentral:rRNA from 1 species
ACGCUCGACACCUACGGGAGGCAGCAGGUGGGGAAUAUUGCACAAGUAGGGGAAACCCUGAUGCAGCGACGCCGCGUGGAGGAAGAAGGUCUUCGGAUUGUAAACUCCUGUUGUUAGGGGAAAAAGAGGAUGGUACCCAACAAGGAAGUGACGGCUAACUACGUGCCAGUAGCCGCGGUAAUCUGAGCGGGCUGGCAAGGC